rnacentral:rRNA from 1 species
GAUAAACGCUGGCGGCGUGCCUAACACAUGCAAGUCGAACGAUCCCGCAAGGGAGAGUGGCGGAAGGGUGAGUAACACGUGGGAAUCUACCUCCUCGCAGGGAACAACCUCUCGAAAGAGAGGCUAAUACCCAAAAGGGUCAGAAAUGAUCAGAGUCGAAAGGCGUGAGGAGAGGAGCCCGCGGCCCAUCAGCUAGUUGGUGAGGUAAUGGCUUACCAAGGCUACGACGGGUAGGGGAUCUGAGAGGAUGUCCCCCACACUGGAACUGAAACACGGUCCAGACGCCUACGGGUGGCAGCAGUGAGGAAUAUUGGACAAUGGGCGAAAGCCCGAUCCAGCAACGCCGCGUGGAGGAUGAAGGCCUUGGGUCGUAAACUUCUUUAGAGGGAGACGAGAAAGGACGGUAUCCCUAGAACAAGCGACGGCAAACUACGUGCCAGCAGCCGCGGUAAU